rnacentral:rRNA from 1 species
CUAGCGACUUCAGAGUUUGAUCCUGGCUCAGGACGAAUGCUGGCGGCGUGCCUAACACAUGCAAGUCGAACGGAGUUGCCCUUCGGGACAACUUAGUGGCGAACGGGUGAGUAACGCGUGAGAAACCUGCCUUUCAGUGGGGGACAACAGUUGGAAACGACUGCUAAUACCGCAUAAUGUAUCGAGAGGGCAUCCUCUUGAUACCAAAGAUUUAUUGCUGAAAGAUGGUCUCGCGUCUGACUAGCUAGUUGGUGAGGUAACGGCUCACCAAGGCGACGAUCAGUAGCCGGUCUGAGAGGAUGAACGGCCACAUUGGGACUGAGAUACGGCCCAG